GAAGACAUCUAUCUUAUCAUUGGCUGUUUCUAACAAAAGUUACAGUAUUCACCACCGAGGAAGAUCUUUUUUGUCAUCAUACCCUGAAGACCGUUUGGCUGUCAUUGAUGAUACUAAGCAUUGUACAGGGUAAAUACUUGCUAGUUUGAUUUGAUACUGCCCUUUGGGAGGACGUCAUUCUAUAUCAGUUUAUAAUACAAUAACUAGCAAUGGCAACAAAGUAAACAAAACAAAAGAAUUUCUCUAUCAA